rnacentral:siRNA from 1 species
GAUGAUGAGCCAAAUGGACCACGG